rnacentral:tRNA from 1 species
GGCUGAGUGGACGAAAGCGUCGGAUUGCUAAUCCGUUGUACGAGUUAUUCGUACCGAGGGUUCGAAUCCCUC